GAAUUGCAGUUGAAGAAAGAAAUCACUCUGCCAAUGUCCAUGUCUCAACUUCAGGUCCUGUGUGCCUACCCCUGUCAUUGGCAGCCCCCACACUAACAUAGAGUUGAGGAAGAGUUUCCCAAAGGAAUCUGAAGAAAGAAGAGUAAACCUGGGCCCACAGCAAAGGAUGGGGAAAGCUAUGUAAACAAGGAGCUACAAUUCCUUCAAUCCCCAGCCAUCUUACACUUGACAGGAAGAUAAUAAGCAACUACAUUUUCUCCAUGCAAAAACCCUUCCAGGUUGUGAGUGCCAUAAAUAUAACGGAUUGUACUGUACUCAUCACUAGUAUGACGGCAUCUCCCUCUCUCCAUAGGAUCUCAAUGAGGAAAGUGGAGAAUUAAGAAAAUGAGAAUUAAACUUUUUCUCCUUUGUAACAUUUCUUUUUUUCUUUUUCUUCUUUUCUCUUCUCUUCUCUUCUCUUUCUUUUCUUUUCUUUUCUUUUC